rnacentral:rRNA from 1 species
GACGAACGCUGGCGGCGUGCUUAACACAUGCAAGUCGAACGGAAAGGCCCUGCUUUUGUGGGGUGCUCGAGUGGCGAACGGGUGUGUAACACGUGAGUAACCUGCCCUUGUCUUUGGGAUAACUUCAGGAAACUGGGGCUAAUACCGGAUAGGAGCUCCUGCACCAUGGGGGGGGUUGGAAAAUUUCGGCGGUUGUGGAUGGACUCGCGGCUUAUCAGCUUGUUUGUGGGGUAGUGGCUUACCAAGGCUUUGACGGGUAGCCGGCCUGAGAGGGUGACCGGGCACAUUGGGACUGAGAUAGGGACCAGACUCCUACGGGAGGCAGCAGUGGGGAAUAUUGCACAAUGGGCGGAAGUCUGAUGCAGCAACGCCGCGUGCGGGAUGACGGCCUUCGGGUUGUAAACCGCUUUCGCCUGUGACGAAGCGUGAGUGACGGUAAUGGGUAAAGAAGCACCGGCUAACUACGUG